AUCCAACUGAUGAGUCCCGCAUAAGAUGUAACGCGCAUCUUGGAU
rnacentral:hammerhead_ribozyme from 1 species